rnacentral:rRNA from 1 species
CGCGUGGGUGACCUGCCCCGAAGUGGGGAAUAACUGCCCGAAAGGGUGGCUAAUACCGCAUGUGGUGGUGUAUUCGAUUACACCAGUAAAGCCGCAAGGCGCUUCGGGAGGGGCCUGCGUCCGAUUAGCUCGUUGGUGGGGUAACGGCUCACCAAGGCGACGAUCGGUAGGUGGUCUGAGAGGACGAUCACCCAGACUGGGACUGAGACACGGCCCAGACUCCUACGGGAGGCAGCAGUCGGGAAUUUUGCGCAAUGGACGAAAGUCUGACGCAGCAACGCCGCGUGAGGGAUGAAGGCC